GCAAAAAAUCGUACAUACAUUACGCACCUAGGGCAGGAAAAUAAGAAAUAUCUCAGAUCACAUGUAACUGUUGGCCGAGGCGAAGCCUAGGUCAUCAAAC